UACAGGGGGUGCAAACGUUGCUCGGAAUCAUUGGGCGUAAAGGGCGCGUAGGCGGCUCUGCACGUUCGUUGUGAAAUCGCCCGGCUCAACUGGGCGGGGUCAGCGGAUACGGCAGAGCUUGAGCAAGCUAGGGGGCAAUGGAAUUCCCGGUGUAGUGGUGAAAUUCGUAGAUAUUGGGAGGAACACCAGUGGCGAAGGCGGCUAUCUGGACGAACACUGACGCUGAGACACGAAAGCGUGGGGAGCGAACAGG
rnacentral:rRNA from 1 species